rnacentral:tRNA from 1 species
GACUUUGUACUUUAAUUUAAAAGAUUUGAUUUGCAUUUAAAAAAUAAGUCUCAAGACUUCAAGGUCA